rnacentral:rRNA from 1 species
AUUGAACGCUGGCGGCAGGCCUAACACAUGCAAGUCGAGCGGAGCGGCGGACGGGGGAGUAAAGCCUAGGAAUCUGCCUGGUAGUGGUGGAUAACGUCAGGAGACGGGCGCUAAUACCGCAUACUAUCAGAUGAGCGUAGGUCGGAUUAGCUAGUUGGUGGGGUAAAGGCCUACCAAGGCGACGAUCCGUAACUGGUCUGAGAGGAUGAUCAGUCACACGGGAACUGAGACGAGGUCCAGACUCCUACGGGAGGCAGCAGUGGGGAAUAUUGGAGAAUGGGCGAUAGCCUGAUCCAGCCAUGCGGCGUGUGUGAAGAAGGUCUUCGGAGUGUAAAGCACGUUAAGUUGGGAGGCGUUACCAACAGAAUAAGCACCGGCUAACUUCGUGCCAGCCGCCGCGGUAAUAC